AAUCGACGACAUCAGCUGCUUCAUAAGCUCCCACACGAAUUGCUUGAUUCAUUGAAGAAGACAAUUGGGUCUGUAGCUCAGUUGGUUAGAGCGCACCCCUGAUAAGGGUGAGGUCGGCAGUUCGAAUCUGCCCAGACCCACCAAUUACUGGUGCACCCUGUAGCGAUACGGGGCCAUAGCUCAGCUGGGAGAGCGCCUGCCUUGCACGCAGGAGGUCAGCGGUUCGAUCCCGCUUGGCUCCACCAUUACAGAUUGGUGUCCAUCGUUUAAAGCUUAGAAAUGAGCAUUCCGCCCAAGUGGCGAUGAAUGUUGAUUUCUGAUCUUUAUCAGAAUCGUUCUUUAAAAAUUUGGGUAUGUGAUAGAAAGAUAGACUGAAUGACACUUUCACUGGUGUUUAUUCAGGCUAAGGUAAAAUUUGUGAGUUUAAUCGCGAAUUUUCGGCGAAUGUCGUCUUCACAGUAUAACCAGAUUGCUUGGGGUUAUAU
rnacentral:tRNA from 1 species